rnacentral:lncRNA from 1 species
CUCCUCCUUCCUCCUUCAGAUGAGAUGACUGAAACUGCCGCAGUCACUAUAGGACCGUGAAUAAAGGUGGCGUAGAAAGAUAAAAAGAACCCGGGACAUUGAUAGCAUCAUGGGGCCUGUUCUCCUCCACCCUAGUCUACCUACGUCUAGAAUUCUGGUUACGUGAGCAAACCCACUCUGCAUUUCUGUUAUUACUGAUACAGUGAUGGAGCCAGGAUUUGAACCAAAGCUAUGCUGAGUCAUUCCUUCUCAUCCAGGCCUCCCUCGCAUCAGUCAUCAGCUUCAAUUACCAGUUUUCCGGAGCCGAGCCAUCAGGCAGUCUGACACCGGGGUCCGGCCUAAUUCCCACCUUCUCCAGAGUCAAGAGCAUAAUGUGCGGAUGAAAAGGUGCAAAAUAGCUUGGACUUCAUUAGCAUGCAGGGCCUGGCUGUUCAUUUGCCGGCUGCGGAUGGAAGUUCUGACACUCGGAGCUUGCUGCAAAAUGAGAAAAGUCCUCUUCAGGGGAGAUGAGGUCCUUGGUGGUGAGGAAAGGUCAUCAAAAAGACAGCCGCUGCCCUUGCUCCCUGCUCUCCAUGACUGCUUAUUGAUUCCAGGAACACCUCAUUACACGCCGGAUCAACAUAUUAUUGCCAUGUUCUGGGACUGAAUUGUUUACAAGUGUCUUUAUCGCCAGCAAAGGCCUGCCCGGAGAUGCAUGACUACACUCAUUUGGCUGUGACCCGCCAAUUAUGUGUUAUCCGAUAUGUUGCUGGGUAUCUUGAUCUUUGCCCGGGUCUUCUCCUGGCAUCAACACAGUCCCAUUUACUACUUCUUUCUAACCACUCUUUGGGAAAGUAGCCAUUAGCCUGUCAGUGUGUAAAUGUGCGUGUGUGUGUGUGCGUGUGUGUGUGUGUGUGUGUGUGUUACCUCUGCUACAGGAAAUCUGAGCAUCGAUGCUCCAUUGCUUGCUAUUCAUGAGGUGCAUAAUCAUUUGGGGGAAAGAAAUUCUCACUCACACUCACACACACACACCUUUUUUUAUGGCAUCCAGGGUAACCCACACAAUUUGCAAUCAGUAUGCACAACAGAGAGCAUAAUGCAGCUUGUUAGCAGCUCCCUCUGCUUACAUAUAGGCCCGACGAGAGAGCCGUCAUAUUUUAUUUGGGCAUAGCUACUGCAAACCACUGCACAGGACCAUUUUAAUCUUUCAUUACAGACACUUCUAUGGCUCCAUAAAAGAAAGAGUGGACUAGCAACUUGAUUAAAAACUUAGUAAAGAGAUUGUGCAAACCCUCCCAUCCCUGAAAAGUGGAGCCACAGCCUUAGUUUCUUACUGACGCCACUCUGCAAUGCAAAUGUGACUUCCAUUUCCCUCCAAUGGUGACUACUGACAUAAAUUUAAUGAUGCUGAGAAUUGACAACUUCUAUUAAUUUUUGUGAAUAUUGCUUGGAGAAGGUUUAACGACUCCACCAAACAUUAGGACCGUCUCAACCAAAUACUAAAAAGGGGUCCAUUUCAUUUACAUUUCCUGUUGCCAUCAAGAAUGGCUCUUUAAUGAGUUUUCCGCAGCAGGAUGUAGAGACACAGAUGCCAAGAAACUUGCCUUUAUUUUCUUGGAAGCAUAUAUCCUUGGCAAUGGGCACAUAUUAAUAUGAUGAGUGAACUGAAACUCAAGAAUCUAACUGCCUUCAGAAAAGUGACAUCUGUAUGCACAUUCAUUUCCAGCAAUUUCCCAGAUUUCUUUGGUAUUUGUCUUUCUUUAAUUUUUUCCAGGUAUUUUUUUUCUCUUUCCAAUUUUGAGAGAGGAGUUUUGUAAAGAUACUGAGUUCUUUUGGUUCUUUCCAAAAUCCCUUAGUUUUGGCUUUCUGACAAAUCACUAUUAAUAACUGGAAAAGGCUGAUUAAGACCCCCUCGUCAGGGUGCUUCAACUCAAUUAAAGAGUCCAUCAGGAGAUGUUUACUCCACCCAGUGUUCAAGGACUCUGCUAAUUCUGUACUAUUCUGUACUAUUAUCAACCAAUAAAUACCCUUUGGAAGAGAAAGAGGUGAUUGGAAGGAUUACUCUUGGUUUAUUUCGGGGGGUACUAUUGCACGAGAAGCUUGAUCAAGGGAUAAAGAUGGAACAAAAAGGAGUGUUUACCAACAUUCGUAUCUGACGAUCAAGUCUCAGUGUGGUUGGAACUCAGAGAAGGACAAAAAGGGUAACUUUCAAUAACUAGGAGUCAUCCAAAAGGAAAGGGGCUUCUUUACAAAUUUACAAGAAAUUGUAAUGAUGCAGCAGUGGGAAUGCCCAGGCGGUAGGCACUUUGAGGUUGAAUGCCCUAGGUAGAAGGGAGAGCCACAUCCAGGAGCUUCUGCCAAUUGUUAUAACCAGAU